CAGCCGCCGCGGUAAUACCGGCGGCCCGAGUGGCGGCCACUAUUAUUGGGCUUAAAGCGUCCGUAGCCGGGUUGGUUAGUCUCCCGGGAAAUCUGGCCGCUUAACGGUCAGAAUUCCGGGAGAUACUGCCAGCCUAGGGACCGGGAGAGGCCGAGGGUAUUCCCGGAGUAGGGGUGAAAUCCUAUAAUCCCGGGAGGACCACCUGUGGCGAAGGCGCUCGGCUGGAACGGGUCCGACGGGGAGGGACGAAGGCCAGGGGAGCAAACCGGAUUAGAUACCCGGGUAGUCCUGGCUGUAAACGAUGCGGACUUUGUGUCGGACAAGCUAUGAGCUUGUCCGGUGCCGGAGGGAAACCGUUAAGUCCGCCGCCUGGGGAGUACGGCCGCAAGGCUGAAACUUAAAGGAAUUGGCCGG
rnacentral:rRNA from 1 species